GACGAACGCUGGCGGCGUGCUUAACACAUGCAAGUCGAACGGGCCUGUCUUCUUUUUUGGGGGUGGGUUGAGUGGCGAACGGGUGAGUAUCACGUGAGUAACCUGCCCUUCGGUCCUGGAUAACCGCUUGAAAGGGCGGCUAAUACGGGGUGGUCCGGUUGGUCCGCAUGGGCUGGUCGGGAUAGAUUCACUGUUUUUGGUGUUUCGGCGGGGGAUGGGCUCGCGGCCUAUCAGCUUGUUGGUGGGGUGAUGGCCUACCAAGGCGGUGACGGGUAGCCGGGCUGAGAGGGUGGGCGGCCACACGGGGACUGGGAUACGGCCCAGACUCCUGCGGGAGGCAGCAGUGGGGGGUAUUGCACAAUGGGCGGAAGCCUGAUGCAGCGACGUCGCGUGAGGGAUGGAGGCCUUCGGGUUGUGAACCUCUGUUUCCGGUGGUGAAGGCCCUGUCCGUGUGGUGGGGUUGACGGUAGCCGGGGAUGAAGCGCCGGCUAACUACGUG
rnacentral:rRNA from 1 species